CACUGGCUGCAGUUGGCAAGAAGAGAGGAGGGAGGGGAGAGAGAGAGAUGUUAAGAAAGAGGAGAUCCUCCCCCAGCUGCAUUGAGAGUGGGGGUCCGGUCGGGUGCAGAAUGGCUGUUUUAUAACUGGGAUCCUCGGUGACGUGUGGCUGCCGGCUCCCUGGCUGCUGUCUUUACGGACCAGUAGGCAGAGCGAAAUUGACGCUGACAAGACUUUUGCGUCUUGGAAAGGACUGUAAUCUACUGUAGCGAAGAACAGAGCCUCUCAAUCAGGCGGGUGUAAAUAAGAGACAGAGGGGAGCCCAAAGAAAAGGAAGAGGAGGAAAAAAAAGGGUGUGUGUGUGGGAGCGGGCAACAGCAUUUUUGGUGGAUGGUAUGAAGCCAGCCAUGGAAACUGCAGCCGAGGAAAAUACUGAACAAAGCCAAGAGAGAAAAGUGAACAGCAGAGCUGAAAUGGAAAUUGGCAGGUACCACUGGAUGUACCCAGGCUCAAAGAACCACCAGUACCAUCCUGUGCCAACCCUGGGGGACAGGGCUAGCCCCUUGAGCAGUCCAGGCUGCUUUGAAUGCUGCAUCAAGUGUCUGGGAGGAGUCCCCUAUGCCUCCCUGGUGGCCACCAUCCUGUGCUUCUCCGGAGUCGCCUUGUUCUGCGGCUGUGGGCAUGUGGCUCUGGCGGGCACCGUGGCAAUUCUCGAGCAACACUUCUCCACCAACACCAGUGACCACGCCUUGCUGAGCGAAGUGAUACAGCUGAUGCAGUAUGUCAUCUAUGGAAUUGCAUCCUUUUUCUUCCUGUACGGCAUCAUUCUGCUGGCAGAAGGCUUUUACACCACGAGCGCGGUGAAGGAACUGCACGGAGAGUUCAAAACCACUGCCUGUGGCCGGUGCAUCAGCGGGAUGUUCGUCUUCCUCACCUAUGUGCUUGGUGUGGCCUGGCUGGGUGUGUUUGGUUUCUCGGCAGUGCCUGUGUUCAUGUUUUACAACAUAUGGUCCACUUGUGAGGUCAUCAAGUCACCACCAACCAACGGCACCACGGGCGUGGAGCAGAUCUGCGUGGAUGUGCGGCAAUACGGUAUCAUCCCUUGGAAUGCUUUCCCAGGAAAAAUCUGUGGCUCCGCCCUGGAGAACAUCUGCAAUACCAAUGAGUUCUACAUGUCCUACCACCUGUUCAUUGUGGCCUGCGCUGGAGCUGGUGCCACCGUCAUUGCCCUGCUGAUCUACAUGAUGGCUACUACAUAUAACUAUGCGGUUUUGAAGUUUAAGAGUCGGGAAGAUUGCUGCACUAAGUUCUAAAUUGCAUAAGGCCAAUAAGGAGCUUUAGAGAGCUCUACUCUGUAGCAUGAAUAUCACUGACACUCCAGACUAAAGCAGAGUCUAGGUUUCUGCAGUUUUGUUAUAGUAAUUUGUAAAUAGCUUCAGUUAACUCAUUUUGCAUGGUAGAAUAAAGUAACUUACUGUACAUGAAUUACAAAAUAAUGAGAUCUGCCUAUUUCUCCAUUUUGGAAAGGAUUCAGUUACUGACAUUGAUCCACUUCCUCAUGAUACUGUCUUCUAACUGGGCUUACUUAAAGGAUGCGAGCAAAAUGCAGGCUUACCAGGAUAUCAAAGCAAAGGAAGAACAGGAACUGCAAGAUAUCCAGUCUCGGUCAAAAGAACAACUCAAUUCUUAUACAUAAAUGUUUGCCACAGUGUUUCAGCCGACGAAUUUACAGCUCUGACAAAUCAUCAGACAGCUGCUCUGCAGUACAGAUGUGUAUCCACCAAACAAACUAAUGUAGAUGUACCAACAUUUCACUGUCUGUCUCAAGCUGCUGGGAUGUAUCUCUAGGAAAAUCUUCCAGUGGGUGAAUCUUUUUCUUUAGAAUAUGGGAGGCUUCACGUUAACCAUUUUAAAAGGCAACACUUUGACAAAAGAUUGUUCAUCCUUUGAAAUUUGUGGCAUGCACAUACUUACUGCUAGAGCGACUCUACCAAGGUAGGUGAUGGGAAUACGUCAUACUCCUUGGUAGGGACUGGUGGGUGACAUGCCAACAUCUAGGGAUGAGACAAUAAAUUCACAUAUGCCACCCAUCCUCAAAUAUACGUUAUUUAUAAAAGGAAAUAAAAUGGAAUUGGUAUGAAGUUCCAUUUCUGACAGCUGACAUUAGUCAAACUUUGACACACAUCAAAGAUAAUGUGAUUCUUACAACUGACUUUUAAAAAAAAAUUAGCACUCCCUGAAGUCUAGAUCCAUUAAUUUCCUGAACCAAUAAGAAAUCUAUUUUUCAGUUAUGCUAAAAUGAGCUACAACUCUGUUGAACUUCCCAUUGAACAAACUGGAUUCUGACUCAUUAAGCUUUCCAGAGUCAAUUUUAUAAGACUUCAUUUUAAUAAAAUGAUCCAGUUAUUAUCAUUCUUCUCUGGAAGUAUGUCAGCUCUGCCUUAAUAUUUAUUCGCUUUAAAUUUCUAAGAAUUUGUAUUACAACAGAGACCCCAAAAUCCUUCACAGAAUUUUGUUCCAUAAAUAUUUUUAAUUAAGAAGUGUUACCUUAUUAAAAUGACCAUUCUAAAGCAUUUUAAGUGGUCUGGAGAGUGAGUUUACAGUUUCAUACCAACUAUCUAAAACCUAACUACAAACUGACCACAGACCUCUAAUCUCCUACUUUUUUUUUUUUUUUUUGUGCCGGGGAUCGAACUCGGGACCUUGCGCUUGCGAGGCAGGCGCCGGAACCACUGAGCUAAAUCCCUGGGCCUAACCUCCUACUUUUAUAGACUUGAAUAUGUAAGUAAAUUAGGGCUGGUAUUUAUUUCAUUUUUUUCUUAUCUAAAACUUAAGUUUCCUGGAAUAAUGUUUGAUGUUCCGCAAGAAAACUGCUUGAGUUUAAGCCAUUUUCAAAAGAAACUUGCCUUCUAAAUCAUUGUGUUCCAGAACAUUAAGUGACUAUAGGUACUGGGUGUUAGUGAUGGUAAACUCUGUGUUGUUCUUUUUGAAAUGAUCCAUGUAACUAUUGGGUGCAUCAGUGCUUUUCAAAGGGGCUGUAUACUAUAGGGUUAACUGUGUAUAUUCAUGUUAAGAGUUAACUUGUGGUUUGGCUGUUUCCUGGAUUUCCAAACAUAUACAUGUGUAGAAAUGUAUUCAAAUGAAAGGAAGCAUACUUUUAUCAAGAUACUAUUAAAAUUGAACAUCAAGUAUAUUUCAUUUGGAUUCUUUUUUUUUAGUCAUGCCUAAAAAUGCCUAUUUGGAUUUGUUUUCUUAAUUUGGAGAAGCUCUCGUCUGUGAACAGGUGUUCCAAAGUAGCUUGUGUUUUGUUUUCCUCUUGCAUGACAAACUUAAAUAUUCUUUCCAGCAGUGGCGGUGCUGUUUAGAGUUCAGUGUUCUAGAAGAGGCAGUGUCUAAAGCCUAAUUUUACUUUUCUAAUUCUGGUAGCUAUUACCAGGAAUUUUUGAAAGUUUUGUUGACGUAGUCUAAUAUUUUUUAUGUAAAGAGCAUUAAAUUUUGCUAUGUAUAAAUUUUUGUAACCUAACAGUGAAUCAAUAUUUUCUAUCAGUGCCAAGGGCUUCUUGUAGUUCUAUUCAAGUGUUACAAUAAAUAUUUGUAGAUAAUAGUCAAUACUUGUGUAUGCUUAUUUUAAAGAUCUAUUUAGGUGGAAAUAGUUGUGGAUGUACUAACAGUAAUGAAAUAAAAUUAUAGCUUCA